UUUUAUCGGUGGAUUCUGCUGGAGUAUCUGCUGCAGAUAAGCACUGGAGGGCUCCUGUUGCAAAUCAUCCUCUGGUGCGAUGGAAGGAUCUUUCUACUGGCACUUGGAGGGGACCCGAUCCGGUGUUGGUGUGGGCCCGGGGAUCUGUUUGUGUCUUUCCACAGGACAAUGAAGUUCCUCUUUGGGUUCCUGAGCGCUGUGUGCGCCCUGUGGCUGCUGCUGAAUCCCGACAUGGCAGAGACCUAUUGGGCCUUUGUGAAAAACUCUCCCCUUCUGAUGCCAAUGGGGAUUGAGAGUCCAAUACGGCCAGCCUUGACAAGCAUUAACAUAAGCCUAGGAACUGUAGCCAUAUGGUUGGAUUCUUCAGAAGACCUGCCAGCCUAAGUAGUGCUGGGAUCAAGAAAAAUGGGCCUUGGUGGUUCGUGUUCCUGGAGCUGCUUCCAUGCCAGUGGACCAUGGCAGUUAGACACAGAUGAUGCUCACACGCUCCAAAAGAGACUGACAUCGCUGUUGCCGUUGUUGCUGUUAUAGCAGUGGUGGCCACUGCUACUACUAUUUCUGGGAUGGCUAUUUCAUAAUUGGGUUCUACAGCUAGCACAAUGGAGACCCUGGCAGCAAAAGUAGCUACCACAGUUAGUUAAUCUUUUAUUGUAUUGGGCAUGAUAAAUUUAAUUCUACAUUUAUACAUUUAAAUUGGCUUUGAAAGUUGUAAAAAUUAUUAAAACUCAAGUUCCAUUUGCUUAUGGGAUACCACCUUACAAGGACUCCAAUUUGCAGUAAGGCUCGUUUAAGAAGGGAAUGGCUCAAUCGCCUUUAGCCUCCUGGCUAUGGGUGGGUUAGGACUUCUGUUGGUCUUUUCUGUGUCGCACAGAUUGCAAGCCCAGCGCCACUUUGAGAUCUUUGGCAGCAGUCACUCUACAGCUCACGUGGUUGAGUCUGUAUGAUAAUGAGUGUUCAGAGAUGGGUAAUGCUUGGGGGGGCGGUCAUCAACCUAAGACAGAGCACUUGUGUGGCCUGGGCAGGUGUCUCCAUGGCGGGUAAGGUGACCUGCUGACGUCCCAAGCAACCCAAGUCAGAAGCUCAUUUUUUAGUAAAAAGGGGGGACCUGUGGGCCCUGGCCCCCCACUGUGAGUGACAGCCGCCUUGCUUGCCGACCUUGACCAGAUGUCCUCCCUAUUCAGAUUCCCUGCCAGUUUCCUUCUCACCUAACUGAUCAACCGGAGGUUCUUUGUUCCUGUAUCCUGCAUUUGGUGUAAACAGCUUAGAUGCAAAAAUGUAGCAAACUUCUGCCCUCCGGGGAUCCGCCAUUGUGCUGUAAGCCUGUAUUUAAGGUUUCCUCCCUCUUUCAAUAAACGGCAUUCGGCUGGCAUUUGGCAUUCAGCCGUGGCGAAUGA